AUGAACGCUGGCGGCGUGCCUAAUACAUGCAAGUCGAACGGAGCACUUCGGUGCUUAGUGGCGAACGGGUGAGUAAUAUAUGAACAACCUACCCCUUUGACCGGGAUAACACACUGAAAAGCGUGCUAAUACCGGAUAGGCGAUCGAGAGGCAUCUCUUGAUUAUUAAAGGAGCGCAUGCUCCACAUUGGGAUGGGUUCAUAUCGCAUUAGCUAGUUGGUGAGGUAACGGCCCACCAAGGCGAUGAUGCGUAGCCGAUCUGAGAGGAUGACCGGCCACAUUGGGACUGAGACACGGCCCAGACUCCUACGGGAGGCAGCAGUAGGGAAUUUUCGGCAAUGGGCGCAAGCCUGACCGAGCAACGCCGCGUGAACGAUGAAGGUCUUUAAUGGAUUGUAAAGUUCUGUUACGAGGGAAGAACAGCACUGAUAGGAAAUGAUCAGUGUGUGACGGUACCUCGCCAGAAAGCCACGGCUAACUACGUGCCAGCAGCUGC
rnacentral:rRNA from 1 species